GCUGGGCAUGGCGGCGCAUGCCUGUAGUCCCAGCUGCUUGGGAGGCUGGGGUGGGAGGAUCACUUGAGCCCAGGAGUUCCAGGCUGCAGUGAGCCAUGAUCGCACCACUGCAUUCCAGCCUGGGUGACAGAGCAAGACCCUGUCUCAA
rnacentral:SRP_RNA from 1 species